rnacentral:rRNA from 1 species
CCUACGGGAGGCUGCAGUGGGGAAUAUUGCACAAUGGGCGCAAGCCUGAUGCAGCGACGCCGCGUGGGGGAUGACGGCCUUCGGGUUGUAAACCUCUUUCGACAGGGACGAAGCUUUUGUGACGGUACCUGUAUAAGAAGCACCGGCUAACUACGUGCCAGCAGCCGCGGUAAUACGUAGGGUGCGAGCGUUGUCCGGAAUUACUGGGCGUAAAGAGCUCGUAGGUGGUUUGUCGCGUCGUCUGUGAAAUUCCGGGGCUUAACUUCGGGCGUGCAGGCGAUACGGGCAUAACUUGAGUGCUGUAGGGGAGACUGGAAUUCCUGGUGUAGCGGUGGAAUGCGCAGAUAUCAGGAGGAACACCGAUGGCGAAGGCAGGUCUCUGGGCAGUAACUGACGCUGAGGAGCGAAAGCAUGGGGAGCGAACAGGAUUAGAUACCCGUGUAGUC